CAUUGACUCCAGAUGGAUUUUUAAAAAGAUAACAACAAUAAUAAUACUGUGAAUUUUUUUUUCCAAGCAUUUCUGUUCAGGUAGAGAAUUAGAGAAGUUUCUCUCUUCUUCUUCUCCAAGAGCCAUCUGGCUGGAUAGCUUUUGGUGGAUAUUUCAUGAGAGGUACCAGCCAAACAAGGAGCUCCAGAAUAAUCUGUUUGACCGGAUAGCCCAGCACUAUGCCUUACUUUUGUUUCGUGUACCCAAGUCCCACUCUGAAGAGGCGCUCUUAAAAAGGCUGCCAUCACUUCUCAGCAAAGCCGUGUACACCAGCUUCUGUUGCUGCUUUCCACAGUCCUGGUUCGACACGCACGAAUUCAAGUCUGACAUCUGUAACACAAUGAGCCUGUGGAUUUCAGGCACCUAUCCUAGCCCACAGAGCUAUGACAGCUGGGACUACUCGGAACUAGACCCAGAGCGAUUCCGCAGAGAAGAAUUAAUGUUGUACAGAAGAAGACUGACAAAGGGGAGAGAGUUUUCUUUGUUUGCUGGUAAGAGAGCCUUCUCCCAGAAGCCAGCCCAGAGCAGGAAAUUCUACCACCC
rnacentral:lncRNA from 10 species